UGGCUCAGGAUGAACGCUAGCUACAGGCUUAACACAUGCAAGUCGAGGGGCAUCAGUUUGGUUUGCUUGCAAACCAAAGCUGGCGACCGGCGCACGGGUGAGUAACACGUAUCCAACCUGCCUCAUACUCGGGGAUAGCCUUUCGAAAGAAAGAUUAAUAUCCGAUAGCAUAUAUUUCCCGCAUGGGUUUUAUAUUAAAGAAAUUCGGUAUGAGAUGGGGAUGCGUUCCAUUAGUUUGUUGGGGGGGUAACGGCCCACCAAGACUACGAUGGAUAGGGGUUCUGAGAGGAAGGUCCCCCACAUUGGAACUGAGACAUGGUCCAAACUCCUACGGGAGGCAGCAGUGAGGAAUAUUGGUCAAUGGACGCGAGUCUGAACCAGCCAAGUAGCGUGAAGGAUGACUGCCCUAUGGGUUGUAAACUUCUUUUAUAUGGGAAUAAAGUGGUCCACGUGUGGACUUUUGUAUGUACCAUAUGAAUAAGGAUCGGCUAACUCCGUGCCAGCAGCCGCGGUAAUACGGAGGAUCCGAGCGUUAUCCGGAUUUAUUGGGUUUAAAGGGAGCGUAGGCGGAUUGUUAAGUCAGUUGUGAAAGUUUGCGGCUCAACCGUAAAAUUGCAGUUGAUACUGGCAGUCUUGAGUGCAGUAGAGGUGGGCGGAAUUCGUGGUGUAGCGGUGAAAUGCUUAGAUAUCACGAAGAACUCCGAUUGCGAAGGCAGCUCACUGGAGUGUAACUGACGCUGAUGCUCGAAAGUGUGGGUAUCAAACAGGAUUAGAUACCCUGGUAGUCCACACAGUAAACG
rnacentral:rRNA from 1 species